ensembl:lncRNA
GGCAACACCUUUUCAAUUAAUGUCAGUGGAAUUAUUGUUCCACUUUCUAAUGUGAGGCUGUAAGAUGUCACCACUUUAGUCUUCACAAUGUGGGAGAAAAAAAAUGAAAAAGGUGUACCGACGUUGUUGUUUAUUCAGUUGGACCAAAUGGUGAGGUUGUGUUUCUGCUGAUUUCAUGUUUGGCAACUUUUUCUUUCCGUAAGAUCCGGCAGACGAAUGAGAAAAACCCGCAAAUACGACAUUAUGACGACACCUGCCGAGCGCGUGGAGAUGGCCCCUCUUAAUGAGGACGACGAUGACGAGGACGACUCGACCCUCUUCGAUGUCAAAUACAGGGUCCCAAGGGGGCUGGACCCCGCCCACUUCUCCUUCACCUCCAUCUCUGAUGGUUCACACCCCACCUCAGACUCCGCCUCCCGGACCGACGGCCACACAGGAAGAAGAAGAAAAGAAGUUCUGUGAACCUCACGAGGUGUUUAAGGAUACUGCACGGUUCCUAGAAUACCUUAGAAUCGGGGGGCUACAUCUGUUGAACAAGGUCUGGGUUAAAUACAAUAUAGAGAUCUGCUACGGCUGUCAAACAAAUAAUCCCAGUCAGAAAAACCAUCCGUGUUUAUACCCCUGUGACUGGUUCUACGAACUACACUUUGAUCCGCUGAUGAAAAGGCUCUGGAAUGAGAACUUCAUAUCCUCCAUCCUCCUGUUUAUGGAUAUGAAUGACCUUCAAGUCGAUGCAGACCGCAUCCAGGGGGGUGCGGAAGUACUUCUCGACGGGCUGAAAUCUGGAGGCAAUGCGGCUGAAAGUAUCCAAAAAAUGUAUGAUACACUGAUCGGGGAAGAUGAACUCAAAAUGAACCAACUGAAAAAGCUCGGCAUGUUGUGGGGAGAAGUACCACCCGUGCAUGAAGCAUGGGAGGUACCCAAUGAUGAUGAUGAUGAUGAUGCGACAGACAUUGAUGUGUAAAAACAAUCAAAACAAGAAAAUGAAAUCGAAAAUGAAGUGAAGUUCUUGAAUGUUUUUUAUAACUGAAAAUGUAAUUUUGUUUUUUCAAUGGGGUGAAAUACUACUAUACUAUCAAUCUGCUUGUCACAUUUUGUACAAGAGAAAUAAAAUAUGUUGUAACGAAUGAACUGUCGGUCAUUUAAACUUUGGUAUUAUGAUGGAAGGGACUCUACAGAAGAUUUAUUUAGAUCCAUCCCAUCCGGGAGGGUUAGGCAGUGUGUCUAAACUUCGCUUUCCUCUUAGAGAAUGUACCAGUGUGACGCCGUCACUAUCUAGUGUUAACGAAUACCUACUGGCGCAAGACGUGUACACAUUACACGCCAAGGCAGCCGUACGUUUUCCGAGGAAUAGGGUUUUGGUCAGUGGCAUUGACAAACAGUUUCAGGCUGAUCUAGUUGAUAUGGGCGAAUAUGCUGAGGAAAAUGAUGCUGUGUGGUAUUUGCUGACGUGUAUCGAUGUAUUUUCCAAAUAUGCGUGGGUUAGGGUUAGGCUUUUCUAACAAAUCUGGCCUCACAGUCACAAAAGCCUUUGAGUGACUGACGCAUACCUGUGAAACUUCAAACAGAUGAAGGUACAGAGUUUUAGUCACAGUAUGAAAUUACGCAUUUUUCAACAUUGAAUGAGACCAAGGCCAGCGUGGUGGAGCGCUUUAACAGGACUUUUUAAACCCGCAUGUGGAGAUAUUUAACAUCCGUUAAUUCACGAAGAUAUGUGGAUGUAGUACAGGAGCUUGUGGAGGCCUAUAAUAACUCACACCAUAGGUCCAUAAAGAUGCAGCCAUCAGCAGUCAAUAAAGACAAUGAGAAGACGGUCUUCAUCCAACUGUACAAGUUGUACCCUCAGAAGACAGUAUGCUUUAAAUGUAACAAUCGUCCAGCCAUUAUUCACGAACCAGCAAAAACCACCACAAAGGAACUGGAGAUACAGUUCUUCUGAAUAUAGUAACACACACGUGUCUGUUUGUAUGCUCGUUUUGCGAGUACUGCUGUAUCAGUCAUGCCUAUGACCUCACACGUGAUUGGACGAGGAGUCUAAGGGUCCUCCAAUCACAUACGAGGUUAUUGUUAUACGGAAGGACUCGCGAGACCAGCUGAGCUCGCGUAUAAACAAGACCGGUGUGCCCAUAGACAUAAU